rnacentral:tRNA from 1 species
AUUAGCUUGGCAGAAGGGCAAAUGUAUUUGAUUUAGAAUCAAAAUGUGGUGAGAACCAGCUAGUU